UUUCUGGAAACCAAGUCCCGCAGGACACGCAGGAAAACAAGGACCCCAAGGUACUUGCAACCUCAAAUGAAGCAGCACAAAAAUACAGCACAGGAAGAGCUGGCAGGCAGCUGAGUUUUCUCUGAAAGGAUACCUGGACCAGAAAGUCUUGGCUCUACCUGACAGGGGUCUCUGCAAACCUGUGUACAGGGGCUCUGUGAGAGGGCUGCCAGGACACGCAGGUGGAACCCAGGGCAGAUCUUUCAAGAUCUGAAUUUCAGAUUAAGUGCUGAACUUCAAAUGACGUAGAUCCAAGUGGGGACAGCCUGCUCUGGUUCUGCAUCACGCACCCCGGAACGUCUGUAAUUAGUCAUGAAACCCACAUGAGCUGCCUGCAGAAAACUCCAUAAUGGGCAGGCUAAGCUGAGAAACGGAUGGUGAAGCAGCGGGGUUUGGGACCGUCACCCGUCAGAGCUCCGACAGAUCACAGACCUCACAGUCACCGAGGGCGGCUCCAGGCAGAAAAAGCCAGGAACACACGUGGCAUUGAGUCCAGGGUACAUUUGUCAAAGUCUUCUUCAACACACGUUGUGUGUGCGUGUGUAUGUAUGCUAGUGAAGUGAAAGGCGCUCAGUCGUGUCUGACUCUUUGCAACCCCAUGAACUAUACAGUCCAUGGAAUUCUCCAGGCCAGAAUACUGGAGUGGGCAGCCUUUCCCUUCUCCAAGGGCUCUUCCAACCCAGGGAUCAAACCCAGGUCUCCAGCAUUGCAGGCGGAUUCUUUACCAGCUGAGCCACCAGGGAAGCCCGUAUGUAUGCUAACCCGUGUCCAGCUCUUUGCAACCCCAUAGGCUGUAGCCCUCCAUGCUCCCCUGUCUAUGGGAUUCUCCAGGCAAGAAUACUGGAGUGGGCUACCACUCCCUUCUCCAGGGGAUCUUCCUGACCCAAGGAUCAAACCUGCAUCUCCUUCGUCUCCUGCAUUGGCAGCGGAUGCUCUACCACUGAGUCACCUGGGAAGCCCAGAUGUUGUGAAAGCAAUGAAGUUAAGUCUCAGAGAUUCCAGGCUCUGAAGUGAUUCUGCCACAUAAGCCCACAAAAAUGGCACCUGGGGCCUUUCCUGUCUUCAUGAACGAAUGAGGUUUUACUAAAAACGAGUAUAAAUAUUUGUACGGGUUUUCAUCUACCUUCACAUUAAAAUCUGCUUGAAGUUCCCAUC
rnacentral:lncRNA from 1 species